UUUAGUCUCACUAAACUUAAAAACUGAACGUGGCUCAAUAUGGCUAACUUUGACUGACGCGGAUAUACACGAGUAUAUACUUAACGCGUUGUGAACGAAUAUUAAAACGGCAGUGACGAUUUUCUGUACAUAAUGUUUUAUCUGUUAAGAUUGAAAAUUGGGCUGAAGGAAGCAUCUCCGACCUCCAAUGCAGCGCGCGCUCACUUAUUAUCAAGAUAUAACAACAAGGCGACCCGCUACUCGGCGCGAGGAUGUUUCAAUUGUCUCGCCCACUUAUGCUUAAACUACUUUAUAUUAUAUACAUUAUUGCCAUUCGUUCAAUAACGAAAUAGUGCAAUCUGUUAAACUAUGCACAAAACUGUCAUACUGUGUUGCCUUUACAAAUAAUAAUAAGCAAAGUGCUGCUUAACUUGUCGCAGCCUAAAAAAAUAAAACAAAUUAUAACUAAA